rnacentral:rRNA from 1 species
UACAGAGGGUGCAAGCGUUAAUCGGAAUUACUGGGCGUAAAGCGUGCGUAGUCGGUUAUUUAAGUCGGGUGUGAAAGCCCCGGGCUCAACCUGGGAAUUGCAUUCGAUACUGGAUAGCUAGAGUAUGGGAGAGGGAAGUGGAAUUUCCGGUGUAGCGGUGGAAUGCGCAGAUAUCAGGAGGAACACCUAUAGCGAAGGCAGCUUGCUGGGACGUUACUGAGCUAAGGCGCGAAAGCGUGGGGAGCGAACAGG